rnacentral:lncRNA from 1 species
AAAAAAAAAAAAAAAAAGGUUAGGUUAGGUUAGGUUAGGUUAGGUGAGGUUAGGUUGGGGUGCCUGUCAGAAAACCUCCCCGUGUGCUCGGCAACUGCUGGUCCCUGUGGACACGUCCUAAGGGAAGAGCAGUCACCGGGCCGGUGCACCCUGGGCACGGACAAUAAUCUCUUCGCGGGGGGUGGGAUAGAGGAGAUUGUUGUCCGUGGCUAAUUUCGACAGGAGCGGAGGAGUCGCUCCCGAGGGCUCCCUAUCUGCACUCUGCAGCAGCAGAGUGCACGACUAGGGAGCGAGGUGGGGUAGAUCGCGGGCCGUUGUACAGUCCGCGGUCUACGGGUCUCCGCGGCGUGCUCGUCGUGGUGACCGAGGUGGGGAAGGCCGCAGGUUGCUCCUCAACCUGCGGUAUUGGGGCAUCCGUGGCGAGGUGCUGAGCC